GCAAGUCGAGCGGAAACGACAACAUUGAUUCUUCGGAAGAUUUGUUGGGCGUCGAGCGGCGGACGGGUGAGUAAUGCUUAGGAAUUUGCCCAGUCGAGGGGGAUAACUAUUGGAAACGAUAGCUAAUACCGCAUACGCCCUACGGGGGAAAAGAGGGGACCUUCGGGCCUUCUGCGAUUGGAUAAGCCUAAGUGAGAUUAGCUAGUUGGUGAGGUAAGAGCUCCCCAAGGCGACGAUCUCUAGCUGGUCUGAGAGGAUGAUC
rnacentral:rRNA from 1 species